CAAGCGUCUGGGGUAAGGAGUCGCUGCCAUCAGCCCCACUGAUGAGUCUAAGCAGUGACUCCGAGACGAAACGCAAA
rnacentral:hammerhead_ribozyme from 17 species